GCAAGUCGAACGCACCUUCGGGUGUGUGGCAGACGGGUGAGUACCCCGUGGGAACCUUCCCUGUGGUACGGAAUAGCUCCGGGAAACUGGAUUUAAUACCGUAUACGCCCUUCGGGGGAAAGAUUUAUCGCCAUAGGAUGGGCCCGCGUCGGAUUAGCUAGUUGGUAAGGUAACGGCUUACCAAGGCAACGAUCCGUAGCUGGUCUUAGAGGAUGAGC
rnacentral:rRNA from 1 species